rnacentral:rRNA from 1 species
GUGCCAGCAGCCGCGGUAAUACGGAGGGUGCAAGCGUUAUCCGGAUUCACUGGGUUUAAAGGGAGCGUAGGCGGAUUGAUAAGUCAGUGGUGAAAGCCCCAAGCUCAACUUGGGAAUUGCCAUUGAUACUGUUAAUCUUGAGUGCGGUUGAAGUGGGCGGAAUAUGACAUGUAGCGGUGAAAUGCUUAGAUAUGUCAUAGAACACCGAUUGCGAAGGCAGCUCACUAAGCCGCAACUGACGCUGAGGCUCGAAAGCGUGGGGAGCAAACAGGAUUAGAAACCCCAGUAGUCC